rnacentral:misc_RNA from 1 species
GAAUUGCGAUAUGUAAUGUGAAUUGCAGAAUUCAGUGAAUCAUCGAAUCUUUGAACGCACAUUGCACCCUCAGGUCUUUUCCAGAGGGUAUGCCUGUUUGAGUGUCAUUAACACAUCAACGUAGACUUUGUUGUCUAUGCUUGGAGGUUGAAGGCUGCCGGCGUCAUGGCCAGCUCCUUUUAAAUUCAUUAGCGGGACUUUGAAGACUUGGCUUCAGUUUGAUAAUGCAUCUAUGCUGUCGCUUGGGAACGCUUGUCUGGCUUAAAGUUGUCCAUUGGACUGUCUCUUACGAGGCAACCUAAUCAAAUCUUGACCUCAAAUCAGGUAGGACUACCCGCUGAACUUAA